rnacentral:rRNA from 1 species
UACGGAGGGGGCUAGCGUUGUUCGGAAUUACUGGGCGUAAAGGGCGCGUAGGCGGCGAUUCAAGUCAGGCGUGAAAGGCCUGGGCUCAACCCGGGAACUGCGUUUGAUACUGGAUUGCUGGAGUCCGGGAGAGGAUGGCGGAAUUCCCAGUGUAGAGGUGAAAUUCGUAGAUAUUCGGAAGAACACCAGUGGCGAAGGCGGCUCACUGGACUGGUAUUGACGCUGAGGUGCGAAAGCGUGGGGAGCAAACAGG